AACAACAGCAUACCAAGUUUUGUCGGAAAUCUAUGGCGGGUUCUUUUACUAGGGAAUCACCUUAACUACCAGUGUUCUUAACAUCUUAAUAAAUUGAAGUAAAUGAAGUUUUUUUCUUAUUUUGACCCGUCCUCCCCCUUCACCUCAACAAAAACUGUAACAUGAAAGAAAAUAGAGCUUAAAAUAUUGGAAAUUUCUGCUUAUAGGUGUCAUAGAGGAACUUAACAAGCAAAUGUCCAGUAGGAAUACUAAAUUUUAACUGUGCAAACAAGUGUCAAUGAUAUCGUGCUUGAUGACAUAAGGAACAAAAAUCUGGAGAUUCAGAGAAUGAAAUGUUUUUGUAUCAGAAAACUUUCAAGUUUAAAAAUGUUCAUGUUAAAAAUGAUAAAGCUUCUACAUUAUAAAGACAAAAUACUCAUGCCAUAAUUUUUAAUUUUCAAGGACAUUCUCUUGCCAAGCAUAAUUGAUUUUUUAGAUACCUUUCUGAUGUUGUCCUUUUCUGCCGAGAACAAAAGAAGUGUCAAUAAUUAUUUUCGAUGUAAAUUUUAAGCUGGCUGAUCCAGGUUGCUUCAUAAGAAUAUAAAUAUUCCUCAUGUAUUAAACACUUGUUUGCACCAUGGUAUUACAUACUUGCCAACAUCACAAGAUCAUUAUUGUAUACACAUACCAGGACAAAAUUUUAUCACUCCACAACUGACCCCAAGCCUGGUUGCAAACCAUGUAAAAAUUCCGAGUGAUAAAAAGGUGUGUACUUUGAUCAUACACUGUUUUAUAUUUACGAGAGAUUAAGAGGGAUUCUGCUCAAAGUUUGAGUAAUAAGUGCAAAAA